UUUUUGUUUGUUUGUUUGUUUGUUUGUUUGUUUGUUUUUUGGGGGGUUUUUUGGGUUUUUGUAUGUCCUGGGGACAGACCACGUAGUGGACUUUACCAAAUAAAACUGGAAAACACUCUUUAAUUCUUGAAGAACGGUGUUGCUUUAAAGUACGUAUUUUCGUCCCAAAUUGUCGUUCUUUCAAGUUAUGUAAAUCGUUUUUCACGCUACGAGAACAUAGAAUUGGGGUUUUUUCAUCUCUGUGCCACCCUAAUUCUCAGCUGCUGAUGAAUAUAAAUUCAUAUGUGAUACCUAAUUUUAUCACUUUAUCAAACAGUGAACUAACUUAAGAUUCAGUAUGGACAGGAUAGUUUUUUGAGUUCACAUCAAUCAAGACAUCACUUUCUUUCAAAUUUUUCCAGAACCAAGAAGAAAGACAAGAGAAAGAAAUUUACAUGCUCCAUAGUCAUUCAUCCCAGAGGAUGGAAAGAUGAAAUUAAUAUCUUAAAAACACUACAUACAAAGCAGAGGAUAUGAGUCCUUGGAAGACAUGAAAGAUCAACUGAACCUGGAAGAUCAACUUGGUAGAACCAGGAGGCACAGAUGCUACUAAGCAGCCUAGAGUUCCUGAUUAACAUCUGACAUUUAAAAUGCUUUCAGCUUAGAAGAAGCCACAGAAACUUACAGGUGUGGAGGAAAGCUCCCUUGCUCUCUCUUUUCUUUUCUCACUUCCUCUUCAGGUGGGUGAAGAAUUGUGGUCCCUUGAACUGACAAAAAAGGGUAUUUCUGUCUGAUAUGAAGAAGACACGAAGCAGCAACUGAAGAGAGCCUUCCUAAUUUCAUCUUUGACAGAAAAUAUAAUUCUGAACUUUAUAAACACCAGGGUUGUGACAUGUGGGUGGACAAAGACAAGAUAAAAUUAUCUGACAACAAAUGCUUUUGGAGGGCAUAAAAGUGGCAUUUGGCCAUGCAGAUGAUGGACCCCUGUGAUGUAUGUUGUGAUCUAAUUUGUGUUCAUUCCAAGCAGUACAUCACUAACACUGGAUCCAGCAGGCCUUCCAAAACAGUGGCAGCUACAAGCACAAUUUCUCAGUGUUCUUCCAGUGAGCUAAGCUGUCUCAGAUUUUAAGGAGAUCUUUGUUGGUCAAUACAAUUUAUUUUGCUUUCCCAAAUGUUAAAACAACAAUGUAGUGUGUUCCGCUGAUACAAUUAAUUUCAAAUAGUUUAUUAUAUAAAGAAUAAUACAGAGCAAUAGCAUUCCUAAGCAUGGAAGGAACUUUGCUUUUUUACUUACAAAAUUAUAAAUUGUACCAACUUUUAAUUAAAGCUCAAAAGAGUGUGGAAAUAUUCAAAAUUCAAAAUCCUUACCAUUAAAAAUUAGUAUUCCCCUUCUUAUUAUUACUGAAAAAAGAGUAUGCUCUCUCAAAGAGAGAAUUUUCAAAGAGUAGUCUUAUUUUCAUGAUUUUUAGAAAUCACACCUUUUCUCUUUGAUUUUAUUUUAAUUGCAUUUUUCAAGAUCUGGACAACAUCUUUUGUCACUCCAGUGAAUUCCUUCCUCUUUUGAAGGAAACGUGAAGAUUUCCUUUCCUUCAAAACAGGAAAUUGUAUGCCAUUGUGACAAAAACUUGGUUUGAAUCCUCACCGAGCAUGAGAGAGUUAUUUCCCCACCAGAUGUAUUUCUAUCUUCAAACCAUGCAGUAGUGAUGUCCUCUCACUCCCGGUAAGAGAAAUUUGAGUGACUAUAGAGGACAUUCUUCUGCACUGCUGGUGGCUUUGGCUGCUAGUCAAAUACCAUGGAGUGUUUAUUCAAAAUCUGGUUUUGCACCUUCCCCUUUUAACAACGACUUUCACCCUCUUGAACCCCAUCCAAGGAGGAGCCGUGUGGGUUCUGUCAGUCCAUCAAGCAACAGAACCAGCCCAAGUAGCUUCCAGCCUGAGCACCCCUUAUCCAUGGUGGCAAAAUCCAGUCUUUUCUGAAGUGGUCUCUGCAUAGCAACACUAGAUGGAGACUUAAGACAUAAGCACCUGGGUUUAUUUAAUUCAAGGGGGUUAAUUAUGAUGAGUUUUUCUACUUGUGGGAAGUACUUAGAUCUACAUGUAUUGUACAACAUGUUUUUAUAAUUUAAAGUUUUCUGCUUGCCAUCCAUUUUGAGUGAAGUGUUUGAAGGCAGGUGUUUUCUUCCUUCAUCUCAGCUCCAUGGCUGGCCUCCUGGAGAGGGACAGUAGGGAAUGUGGGCUGCCUCCCACAUCUGGCAGGGAUAUGGAGCAGGAACAAAGCGGUGAGAUACAGCUGAUCUGCCCAAAAGAGUUUGGGUUUUGUUUUUGGGUGAGCCUUUCAAGGUACAGGCCUGAUCACUGACCUUCAAAAAGAGCAGUCCAACUCCUCAGAGGCAGGGGAGGAGCUAAUCUUACCAAGUGUAAGAAGAUGGGGAGCUGUAUCCUUCUGGUAGGUUGGUGGAGAGAAGAGAUAAACUGGUGGUUUUCAUGAGUUUGGAAGGAGGUGGGAAAGGAUGUGGGAGGAUUGGUUUCUUUUUUUUUUUUUUUUGUCUUUUGUAUGGAGAGGAAACUUGUAUUUGUCUUCUUGAGGAGGUGCAGAGGAAGGAAAGAAAUGAGUAUAUUUUUUUGGUUAUGUAUGAAGAGAUGAAGAGAACAAUUGUGCCCUGUAAGCACUGGUUGGAAAGAACAUUCAAUAAAGUAAUUCCUUUCUUGCCCUGCAGAUCCAGGGGGUGCUUAUGAGGCUGUGUUGUUGCUAGCACAUAUUUGCCUACCAUCCCAGGGCUUAGAAUUCCCUAGAGGCAGCAGCACUGCUGAGAUAGAUAUAGACAGACUGAAAGACAUCAUUUUACCAGGCUAUUCCACAUUGAAGGGUUCACCAAACCCUGCAUACAGAAAUGGUGUGGGAAGUAUCCAGUCAUAGGGAUUCUCACAGAAUCUAGAAAAUUGACAUUCCAUGAAUCCUGGCAAUCCACGUAGUCAACAAGCUGAGUGCACAGUCCUUCACAACACAGCAUGUGUGCAGGUUGGUUGGGUAUGGACACUUCAUCCAAGAUAAAAAAAAACCAGCAAUGCCUGAAAUAAACACAAGUUCU